UCUUGUUUCAUUCUUGCAAGACAAAGAAACAAAACCACCUACCCUCUCUCCUUCUUAACCUCUGGAAACUUCAUGAAACCACCAUAAAUUUAUACUAAAUCAAUCAACAAAAUUCGUUUUUUGGUGAAGAUCAAGUUGCUCCUCUUUUUUGGGGUAUAUAAACCCUUCAAAAUUAAAGGGAAAGUGUUUGAGGAAGUGGACGGAUUUGGUUUGUUUACGGCGUAGACGAUUCGAACGUCCCCAAGUUGUGAUUGAACUAUUUUGUGGUAAUACACCAAGGUAAUGUACAAGAUUAAAUCUGAAGACGACCAUUAUGAAGUAGUCUUUUGGGAGCACUUAUGAAGAUCACAUUUGUAUAUGCACCUUGAUUUUGCAUAGUUUUGUGACAUGUAUAUGAUAUAUAUAUAUAUAUAUAUAUAUAUAUAUAUAUAUAUAUAUGUCACAUUUAUGUAUGUUAUUUGGAGGCUUGUUGGAUUUUAAGACCAAAAUCUUGUAACUUAAAUUUGGUAACUUGUUUUGCUAUUUUAGUGUGUGUUAAUAACUCAAGUAAAAGUAAUAUGCUGAAUUUACACUUUGUCUUGUAAAUAUGUACAAAGGAGAAAACUAGUUACCGUUUUAUAUACCCGAUAGUUUGAAAUUUAUGUACAAUACAAACU